rnacentral:rRNA from 1 species
GUGGGGAAUUGUUCGCAAUGGGCGCAAGCCUGACGACGCAACGCCGCGUGGAGGAUGAAGAUUUUCGGAUCGUAAACUCCUGUCGAACGGGACGAACGGCCCGGCCGUGAACAACGGCCGGGAGUGACGGUACCGUGAGAGGAAGCCCCGGCUAACUCCGUGCCAGCAGCCGCGGUAAUACGGGGGGGGCAAGCGUUGUUCGGAAUUACUGGGCGUAAAGGGCUCGUAGGUGGCCGCCUCAGUCCGACGUGAAAUCCCUCGGCUCAACCGGGGAACUGCGUCGGAUACUGGGUGGCUUGAAUCCGGGAGAGGGACGUGGAAUUCCAGGUGUAGCGGUGAAAUGCGUAGAUAUCUGGAGGAACACCGGUGGCGAAGGCGGCGUCCUGGACCGGUAUUGACACUGAGGAGCGAAAGCCAGGGGAGCAAACGGGAUUAGAUACCCGAGUAGUCC